CCUUUCAGGCAGAUUACUCAGCAGUGUUUUACUUGGUUACUCCCCUAGGGGGGGUUCAGUUAAUCAACUCACCUGUUCAGUGUCCUAUUUAAGUCCAGGUGUGCAGUUGUUCACUCUCUUUACCGCAAGCGCUGCGUUCGUCGCCCCACCCUCCUCCCCGGCUUCCACCUGUGAGAUCCGUUAGGGGUAGUUAUUACGCAAAAGUUUUCUGGAAAUCUUUCCUCAUGGAAUAUUUUUUUUUUUACUGCAUGAGUUGUCUGACUGAAAUAUAUCAUGGGAAAUUUCCCCAUAAUUCAGUUACUUUCCAGUACUGUUAAUCCAAAAUUUUCUGUCUUUCUGUCCAAUUAAAGAGGCACUGAAAGAUACAUGGGCUUGUUGCUAAAAAAAUUUUUUUAGAUUAUGCAUAACAUUUAGGGGAAAAUCAAAGAUGCAGACCUGAAUGUGUAAUGUUGUUUUGGUAAUAAUUUUUGUUUUGAAGUUUUCGAAUUUGAAGAUAAAUUCCUUGUGCAUGCACUGAACUUGGCCAAAAAAGCCGAUUCCAAUUUUUUUCUUUUGCAGAAAUUUGUGAUGAAGACGAUGGCCAUUUUUAAAGAAGGUUGGCCGACAGAUGAGAGGUACAUGACCACGAAAACCAAGAAUUCAUUAAAAAAAGAGACUUGCAGAACAUUUCCUGCCAUUGAUCUCUGCUCUCCCCACAGCUCUGCUUCAGUUUCAUCCAAAUCCUGACAAAAGUGUUUGUUUCAGCUCUUUCUGGAGUUUCUGUCUGCUCAGCUGAUGCUGAAGUUGGUGUUUUUUUCUCCAGAGAACAUCUCCUGUGGGGUUGGAGUUUCCUUUGGAAGCGCAGGACAUGAGUCCUGCCUAAAGAAUGUAGAUGAUUUUUGUUCAUGAGUUUGUCACAUGGCAGGAUUUUCCUGUGAAGAUGCUGAGUGCGGAAGUUUGACACACAUCAUCAGAGGCCUUCCGUCCUAUGCUUGUUUUCCUACAAGUUAUGGGAAUGUGAUGAUUCUCCUAAUCAUUGCAGGGACUCUGAAGGCUGUGAAUGAGGUGGAGGAGCUCCGCCUCGUGUCCUCACAGGGCAAAUCUGAAGAAGCAUGACAUUUGAACAGUUGGGUGGAAAAACAUGACACAGUGAGGGUGAAAAGCAAUAAGGCAGGGGUUAGUCUCAUGCCCCACAUGAGUACCUGUGUAAGUGAGAGGUUAGCAGGCUAGUGACUGAAAAAUGAAGCAAAGCGAAGCAUCUCUUGUCCAUCAGAACCUGAGUUUGUUCUUCUGUGUAAGCACUCUCACUCAUAUUGAUGCACUUUUUUUUUUGGUUCGCCGGACAGCUUUCACGCAGUUUGAGCUGGAAUCGAAGGUCUCUGUUUAGCCUUGAACAGAUGCAGUUAGGUCCCUCAAAUACAAUUUGUGACGGUGUGGCACCGUCAGAUGGCAAAGGGGACCCACACCGUGUAAUUAUUUUAUGUGUAUUUAUUCAUUUUAUGUAUAAAACUAAUUCCUGUGAUGCCACCUGGAGGAUAAUGAAGAGCCACGCCCAAUGGGAGGGGCUUAACAUUCAAAAGGGAGCAUCACAGGUAGAGAAAAGAGGUGACGGAGGUGUUGUGUGUGGAUUUGGCCCUGCGUGGAGCUAUUGCAGAGCUCAAUUGUUCUUGAAAUAAGGAAAAGAACCCACUCACCUUGGUGAGGCCACCCGGAUCCACCCCCUCUUUCUCAGUGGAUGGAGUCCUCGACGGAGGAGCUGUGGUUGUUGUGGGAUCUUUCUCCCCAAACCUCUGCGUUCUCACCUUUUUGUGGCUGUCCUCUGCGAUCCCACUUCUGACACCAAGUUUUCGUGGGGUCCCGCUGGGAUUAAUGCAGAGGCACCAAGUCGCUCUGCUGGCAGAAAGCGUCUUUGUCUCUUUUCCUGAAGCGGAGAGGAAAGAAAAACUCUGGGGUCAAACUAAUGAGCUCUGCAGGCGUUUGUGACACAGAGAUGUCAUCAGUCAUCUUUAAACCCAGACCAGCCAAACAUGGUUUGGACCUCAUCGUCAGCAAUCAACAGAUUCCAAGUUCAUCUGGUGAAUCCUCCGUGUCUUAUUUUCCCAUACAGCAAGUAAAGAUCUACGUCUUCUGAGAGAAGCAGUUAUUUGCUUGUUACUGUUUCAGGCUGAACACAUGAGUCCUCACCCGGACUGCAGCCUCCACUUUUGGUGACUGCCCCAAUCUACAUCUAGAUAUUUUUGCUGAAUUUAACUGAACAUGUUCUUGUACAGGCUGGACUUCCUUUCUGGGAUUGUUAUUUUUUUCCCUAACCCUUGAGUUUGACGUCUUUCAUAUUUUCCUCAUAGUUGUACAGUUUUUUGUUGCUGCUGUUAUGGUUGAAGUGUUUGUUUCUGUCCAUUAUAUUUUACCUCUGUUUGGUAGCUUUUCCAUUUUCCUGUGGCUGUUGAGGAUUAAGAAAAUCCUCACCUGUCUCGGGUUCAAAAGUCCCUUUUUUGUCUCUGCUCCUGUUUCCAGAAAAUAUCCUAUCCAGUAAACCCUGUUUAGUUUGAGGUUUCUUAUUUCUUCCGCUUGUAAAAACUUGCAGUUUUACCCUGAAAGGAGCAGCUUUGUGCUUUCUAAAGUCUUCGUGCUCUGUGGUUCCUGAAAGUGUCAGUCAAAAGAGGCAGCAGCACAGACUGAAUGCUGUGCAGGUGUGUCUGGCUGCAGAGAUGUGGGUUUUGGCUGCUGUUGGGUAGUAUGACCCAACUUGCAUCUGUGUGUUCAUGCUAGCACACCAAAAAAAUAAA